rnacentral:misc_RNA from 1 species
UCCGGUUUGUCACCGGCAGUCUCAUUAGAGUGCCCUUGCGUAGCAACUAAUGAUAAGGGUUGCGCUCGUUGCGGGACUUAACCCAACACCUCACGACACGAGCUGACGACAGCCAUGCACCACCUGUGCACUGGCCCCGAAGGGCUGCCGUAUUUCUACGACAUUCCAGUGCAUGUCAAGCCCUGGUAAGGUUCUUCGCGUCGCGUCGAAUUAAACAACAUGCUCCACCGCUUGUGCGGGUCCCCGUCAAUUCCUUUGAGUUUUAAUCUUGCGACCGUACUCCCCAGGCGGUGUGCUUAAUGGUUUCCCUCCGCCGCCGAAGCCCUAAGGACUCCAACAGCUAGCACACAUGGUUUACGGCGUGGACUAC